UCUCUAUGAUUUAUCAACUCUCAACUCUCUCUCUAAAAUUCACUUUCGUCUCUAUCUAUCUUCUUCAAUCCCAUUUCACAAACCCUAACCCUCAAUCGAUCUAGACAUUUCAAAACCCUCAAUCGGAUCCAUCAAACUCAACUUAUCAAACAACAAGUUUUCUUUCUAGGGUUUAAGGUGCAGUUUGAAAUUCAAUUGGAGAUUCUUUUACGGCUGUCUGAUGAAUAAGAAGAAGAUACCUGAAUCAAAAUUCAAAAACCCUCUUUCUCACACUUCCGGUACAGUUGAUUAGUGAGUUACUGCUUUUACAAAUCCAUUUCAGUUUUGUUGAGUGAUUAGUGCGAUAUCAAUUACUAGCAGUUUCACCAAAAACAAUAGGCUUCUCUGACCCAGAAAGAUCCGCAAUCAGAAACUUUAUGGCGGAUUGAUAUUUGUCGGAUAUAGCAGUGGUCCCUCUUUUAGUAAUACUUCUAGUGUUCGAAAGCCAGGUUAAAAUAUAUGACUCAGCAAUCUUUGAUAUGGUGUGGAUGAAACUCUGUUUGUAAUUUGAGUCUACAUUUUGUAGAAUUUAGUGUAAGAAAGUAUUUUACCGAUGCUUGUGAAAUAAAGUUUGAAGGCUUUAGGUGGACUAGGUUUGCUCUAUCAUGGUGGAAAAUUUCUUCUUAGGCGUGUUUUUGAGGUUGUUGCAGAAACAAGAAGCUCGGAAGCUUUUGUAGCGCUCUGUUUAUUGACAGCUCCUGGAACAUUACUUAUAACUCAGAAAUUAGGCUUUAGCGACACGCUUGGAGUCUUUUUAGCUGGGACUUUGUUGGCUAAAAGAAAUUUCAGUACCUAGAUUGAAGCUGACAUAAGGCCUUUUAGCUUGGAGUCUUUUUAGCUGUGACUUUUUGGAGUCUUCAAAGAAGAGAAAAAUGACCUCAGUUCAACCAAACGUUCCAAACCUAUUGGCAGAGCAUAUCAAACAUGAAAUCGUUCCAAACCUGAAGGGUUGCAAACGCAUAUGCGGGACAUGGUGGAGGUGUUGCUGAGCUGGCAAAGCAGCAACAAGAAUCAUUUCAAAGCGAAGGUGAAGCAGCUCCUAGAAAUGCUUGUAAAAAAUGCGGCCUUGAUGUUGUUAAGUACGCAAUGCCUGAAGAACAUAUGAAGCUGCUCACAAAUAUACGAAAGUUACUUUUGGAGUGCAAAUAAAUGAACGAAAAGAGUGAAAACAUUUCGCUAACACUGAGGAAACCAAAUCUCGUCUAACGAAAGCAACUACCUCAAGGUUGAGCAGAUGGAAUCAUACGAAAAUAUUCUCGGAUUUCGGUGAUUAUGAUGAAACUGAAGAUAUGUUAAACUCCAAAAAGUCUUCGAUCAAGUCGAAGAGAGCAAGGAAGAGGUUGGCAGAAGACAGUUAUGAACAACUAGAUGAUGAACCACUUGACCUGCUUGACCGUGAAAAGACAAGAUCGUCCCUUAGAUAUUCCAACAGUCUGAAAAGGAAGCUACAGGUUGACGAUGAGCCAGAGAUAGAUGCUGAUGGAAGACUGAUCAUUUUCGAGGAGGACACACGUUUCAAACGAGAGGUUACGACUACAUUAUCGUUAAUUAAUUAAAUUAUACUUUUGGCUCUUGAUCAGGUUGAGCAGAUGGAAUCAUACGAAAAUAUUCUCGGAUUUCGUUGAUGAUGAUGAAACUGAAGAUAUGCUCAAUUCCAGAAAGUCUUCGAUCAAGUCAAAGAGAGCAAGGAAGAGGUUGGCAGAAGACAGUUAUGAACAGCUAGAUGAUGAACCAGUUGACCUGCUUGAGCGUGAAAAGACAAGAUUGUCCCUUAGAUCUUCCGACAGUCUGAAAAGGAAGCUACAGGCUGACGAUGAGCCAGAGAUAGAUGCUGAUGGAAGACUGAUCAUUUCCGAGGAGGACACACGUUUCAAACGAGAGGUUACGACGGAAAAUGGGUCAGUUUUCCAAGAUAUAAAACUCGUAGUACGCCAACAUGGGCAAUUUCUACACCGAUCCGCAGUCUGUUAGACAAGUACUGGGAGUAUCCUUUACGCACAUUAUAAUAAUUCAUGUUUAUUAUGUUUCUUUUAUGCAUUUCAGUUUUUCUACAUUUGUUACAAGUAUUUAACUCAAAUCUAGAUCUCUUAAGAAACAAGACGUUUCUGAUGGCGAUGUAUUAAUCCAAACCUCAAUAACUUGUUUUCCAAGAUAUAAAACUCGUAUUUUAAAAAGGAUUUUAAUCAUUUCAAAUAUGUGUCAUUGUAAAUACUGGAAUUGACACUACCGAGAAAGCGUUUGCUCUCAUGCCAUCAUUAAAGAUACAAUACAUACAUACGCCUUGCUUUUUUAUAGACUUACACUCUUACUUGCUUUACAAGUUAUCAUGUCUGACAGGCCAAGCAAAUCAAGGUAAUUGAAUCGUUGAGUGCCGCAUUAACUGAGAUGACGAGCUGACGAACGAGCAGUUAUGACUGGAGAAGAGAGCAAGCGGUAUUGGUGGUUAGAAGAAAUCAACACGCCAAAAGAAUCAGAAAUGCAGGGAAUCAAGUAUAUGGGACCGCAGAUAAUUGAAAUGAGUACGCUAUAGAUCCUUUCAGUAAAAGAAGAAGUUUUUUUAGCAUGUUUGGUUUCCCCUCUAAAAGGAUGGAUGUAUAGGUGUUGAUAUAACUGUUUGUCUCUAAAAGCUUUGUUUUUUUCUUUGUUAAUGUUAAUGCUGCAUAAAAGAAAAUGAAGCACAUCCUUUUAGAUUUAA